CUCCUGCUUAGUCUUCUUUUCUAGCACAUCCUCUCUACUAGGCCAGUACAUAUUGGAGAUUUUUGCCUUCUUUUGUUUUUUCUCUUUGCUCUUUCCUUAAGUGACCCCAUUAGAUACUCAUAACUUCUGCUUUUAUCUAUAUACUAAUGGUGCCUCCUUUUCAGCUCCAAUCUAGAUGCCUCUCUUCUGAGCAGCAGACCUGUAAACCCAACUGACUGUUAAACAUGUUCACUUGACUGUCCCCAAAGCAGCUCAAACUCAGCAUGUGCAAACCUGAAUUUACGAUCUCUUCCCUCCAACACUAUUCCUCUAUGGAACCCAUUUAUCAUUUCUCAAGUACUGCUUGUCUGUUGUGAAUGAAGGUAAAAAAAAAAGGAGUUGGCAGGUCAACCAGGGAGACAUGAUACAUCAAUCAACAUAUGUAAGACGAACAUCGGUUUGUUCUGGAAAGGUGGGACAACUUGAAGCAAACUGGGGACAACUUGAAGUGGGGAGGGAGCUUCCUGGCUAUAAGUAGGUAAGAGACAAAUGGUUGCAUUCUUUUGAGUUUCUGAUUAGCCUCUCC
rnacentral:lncRNA from 1 species